rnacentral:rRNA from 1 species
CGAGGAAUAUUGCACAAUGGAGGCAACUCUGAUGCAGUAACGCCGCGUGAGGGAAGAAGAUUUUCGGAUUGUAAACCUCUUUUUGUAGAGACGAGCGAGGACGGUAUCUAUAGAAUAAGUCUCGGCUAACUACGUGCCAGCAGCCGCGGUAAGACGUAGGAGGCGAGCGUUAUCCGGAUUCACUGGGCGUAAAGCGCAUGUAGGCGGUUGUGCAAGUCGUGUGUGAAAGUCCCCGGCUCAACUGGGGGAGGUCAUGCGAAACUGUGCGACUGGAGGGCAGGAGAGGAACGUGGAACUCCCGGUGUAGCGGUGGAAUGCGUAGAGAUCGGGAAGAACACCAGUGGCGAAAGCGACGUUCUGGUCUGCACCUGACGCUGAGAUGCGAAAGUGUGGGUAGCAAACGGG